rnacentral:rRNA from 1 species
UACUCGAGUGGCGAACGGGUGAGUAACACGUGGGUGAUCUGCCCUGCACUUCGGGAUAAGCCUGGGAAACUGGGUCUAAUACCGGAUAGGAGCCAUUUUUAGUGUGAUGGUUGGAGAGUUUUUUCGGUGUAGGAUGAGCUCGCGGCCUAUCAGCUUGUUGGUGGGGUAAUGGCCUACCAAGGCGGCGACGGGUAGCCGGCCUGAGAGGGUGGACGGCCACAUUGGGACUGAGAUACGGCCCAG